rnacentral:rRNA from 1 species
UACGUAGGGGGCAAGCGUUGUUCGGAAUUACUGGGCGUAAAGGGCGCGUAGGCGGCACGGCAAGUCAGGAGUGAAAGCCCGGGGCUCAACCCCGGAAUGUCUUUUGAAACUGCCGAGCUAGAGUGCGGAAGAGGCAACUGGAAUUCCCAGUGUAGCGGUGAAAUGCGUAGAUAUCUGGAGGAACACCGGUGGCGAAGGCGGCAUCCUGGACCGACACUGACGCUGAGGAGCGAAAGCCAGGGGAGCAAACGGGG